UACGUAGGGUGCAAGCGUUAUCCGGAAUUACUGGGCGUAAAGCGUGCGCAGGCGGUUUUGUAAGUCUGACGUGAAAUCCCCGGGCUCAACCUGGGAAUUGCGAUGGAGACUGCAAGGCUUGAAUCUGGCAGAGGGGGGUAGAAUUCCACGUGUAGCAGUGAAAUGCGUAGAGAUGUGGAGGAACACCGAUGGCGAAGGCAGCCCCCUGGGUCAAGAUUGACGCUCAUGCACGAAAGCGUGGGGAGCAAACAGG
rnacentral:rRNA from 1 species